rnacentral:lncRNA from 1 species
AAGUAGCCUUUGCAUAGAUAAAACGCGGGCACGGACGGCGGACGGACGAUCUUUAGUAUUGAUGGCAGAAAUCACGGGAACCACUGAGUAUUUUAAUAAAAUAUAAAACAACGGUAACUCCGAAAAUAAACAUUUUAACCGUUCUAGCUUUCAACUAAGAUUCAGUCAUCAUCAGGAUAUAUAGUGAAGACUAAGUAAUUUGAUAUGUACAGAAACGAUUAGUUUAUGUAUUGUCCAAAUAUCAUUUACAGGUAUACUUUUUAAUACAUAAAAAUAUUAAACAUUUCUGCAUGCAGAUCGUGUUCUGGCCUCCAUCUUUCUUGACCUCGACACUUGAUAUUGUGCUAAAUAGGCAGCAAUCGCUACCUUAAGGUACACAGCCAGAAACGCGCAAGUUGCAACAGGUCUGCUGCAGAUUUGCUGCAACUUGCGAUCAUCAAGCCGAUAUGAGGAUGUGUUCGCAUCGCUUGCUCCGGCUUGAUAAUAUCAAGUCUGCUGCAAGUUGUCAACAGACUUGCAGACUUGCUGCAUGCAAGUUGUCGUCCCCAGACUACACAAGUAAAAACGCACAAGUUGUUACAGGUGUGCAAACAAGUUGUUACAAAUCUGUUCAAAAGCUGCCAACAAGUUGUCUUCGCACUGCUUGUUCCCAGUUGUUGCAACAAGUUGGAACCAGCUGUUAACAACUUGUCACAAGCUUGAUGGCACUAUCAGACUUGUUACAAGGUUAUUCUAACAAGUCUGAUACAGUCAUGAUAUAACAAGAAUGUUGCAAGGUUGACGACACAAGGUUGUAACAAAAUUGUUAUAUCAUGACUGCAUCGGACUUGUUGGAACAACCUUGCAACAAGUCUGAUAAUAUCAACAAGGUUGUUACAAAUUGU